rnacentral:rRNA from 1 species
AUUGAACGCUGGCGGCAGGCCUAACACAUGCAAGUCGAGCGGAGCGGCUGACGGGCGAGUAAUGCCCAGGAAUCUGACUGGCCGCGGGGGAUAACGUCCGGCACCGGGCGCUAAUACCGCACACUAUUUGAUGCGCCUAGUUGGGAUUCGCUAGUUGGUGGGGUAAAGGCUUACUAAGGCGACGAUCCGUAACUGGUCUGAGAGGAUGAUCAGUCACAUGGGAACUGAGCCACGGUCCAGACUCCUACGGGAGGCAGCAGUGGGGAAGAUUGGACAAUGGGCGAAAGCCUGAUCCAGCGAUGCCGCGUGUGUGAAGAAGGUCUUCGGAUUGUAAAGCACUUUUAGUUGGGAGGCGUUAACAACAGAGGAAGGAACGGCUAACUACGUGCCAGCAGCCGCGGUAAUAC